rnacentral:rRNA from 1 species
GACGAACGCGGCGGCGUGCUUAACACAUGCAAGUCGAACGGAGCGAAUGAAAGCUUGCUUUUAUAAGCUUAGUGGCAAACAGGUGAGUAACACGUAGACAACCUGCCGACAGGAUGGGGACAACAUUCCGAAAGGAAUGCUAAUACCGAAUGAAGUGCAGGGGAGGCAUCUCCCCUGCAUGAAAGAUGGCCUCUGAAUAUGCUAUUACCUGUUGAUGGGUCUGCGUCUGAUUAGCUGGUAGGUGAGGUAACGGCUCACCUAGGCGACGAUCAGUAGCCGGUCUGAGAGGAUGAACGGCCACAUUGGGACUGAGACACGGCCCAGACUCCUACGGGAGGCAGCAGUGGGGAAUCUUCCGCAAUGGGCGCAAGCCUGACGGAGCAACGCCGCGUGAGUGAAGAAGGUCUUCGGAUCGUAAAGCUCUGUUGAUGGGGACGAACAUGCCUAAUGCGAAUAGUUUUAGGUAAUGACG